AGGGNAGUGGCAGANGGNUGAGUAACGCGUGGGAACAUNCCCUUUCCUGCGGAAUAGCUCUGGGAAACUGGAAUUAAUNCCGCAUACGCCCUACGGGGGAAAGAUUUAUCGGGGAAGGAUUGGCCCGCGUUGGAUUAGCUAGUUGGUGGGGUAAAGGCCUACCAAGGCGACGAUCCAUAGCUGGUCUGAGAGGAUGAUCAGCCACAUUGGGACUGAGACACGGCCCAAACUCCUACGGGAGGCAGCAGUGGGGAAUAUUGGACAAUGGGCGCAAGCCUGAUCCAGCCAUGCCGCGUGAGUGAUGAAGGCCUUAGGGUUGUAAAGCUCUUUCACCGAUGAAGAUAAUGACGGUAGUCGGAGAAGAAGCCCCGGCUAACUUCGUGCCAGCAGCCGCGGUAAUACGAAGGGGGCUAGCGUUGUUCGGAAUUACUGGGCGUAAAGCGCACGUAGGCGGAUAUUUAAGUCAGGGGUGAAAUCCCGCAGCUCAACUGCGGAACUGCCUUUGAUACUGGGUAUCUUGAGUAUGGAAGAGGUAAGUGGAAUUCCGAGUGUAGAGGUGAAAUUCGUAGAUAUUCGGAGGAACACCAGUGGCGAAGGCGGCUUACUGGUCCAUUA
rnacentral:rRNA from 1 species